GGCCUGGCGGGCGGACCACGGGCCUCCUGCUCGGCCGCCCCCUCUCCCAGGUCACCUUCUGGAGCCCAGCCUUCAUUCACGCCUCUUUCUCUGCAAUGGUGGGCAGACACGCAUGCACAUCUGCUGAGGCCAGGACUCCUCGCAGUCACCGUCCCCACUGGGACCGGCUCCGGAGCCCUUUGGCCUCUCGUCGCCUCACAGCGGUGAAGAGGAGCCUUCCGUGGGGCGGCGCCGGCCUGCGCUGGUUCUCGGCUCUCACACCCCCGGCCGCAGCAAGUCGCUGAGCGCUUCGGUUGGGCUGGCCGCCCCAUCCAGCUACUCCCGCACCAGCAGCCCAGCUGUUCCUCUCAGCUCAGCCAAGCUCCGAAGAUACAUAAUCAGAAAAUGUUACAGAAAGUACAGUCGCCAACAUUCUAUUGCCUUCUCAGCUUACAGCUUUGAAGUAAACUGUCACAUUUAAGAUAUCACGUUACAAGAAACUCAGGGUGAGCUCUAGCCAACAGCUAAGGAGAACUUAGGCCUUCAGUCCUGCGGUCCACAGAGAGCUGCAACAAUCACUGCGUGAGCUUAGCAGGGGACACUUGCCUGGUGGAGCCUUUGGACGAGUCUGCAGACCCUGGGCUAAGACUCAGAUUGCAGCCUUGUGAGGUUGCAAAGCACAGGACCCAGGCGAGCAGUCACCAAUUCAUCGCAAGAAACUCUGAGUGGUAAACAAGCCACCGCUUUGCUCGUAUGAAAUGCGAAUAUGAAGCCUGUUACCCUGUGAAAAUAGACAUCAGCUGUAUAUUAGGACACUAAAAGAGAAGCUUGGGCAGAGAUCAUAUACCUGGAUUAGUGGUUCUGAGUGUGAUCCAAAAACAUCAUCUAAGAACUUGAAAUAAAUAGAAAUACUCAAGCCUUAUUCCAACAUGCUGAAUGAGAAACUCAGGGACUGCUACCUGGCAAUCCAAGUCAUCGUGAUGCACGUGCUGAAGGGUGAGAAAUCGUAUGACAUAGAACCGCAGAUGCCCACUGGUAGUCUCACAGUAAUCAGGCAUAAGAAUGAGGCGACCCUAGGUCAUCUGUCUACCACAAGACUCACCGCUUGACCAUGGUCCUGCGUGAAAAGCCUGAAGAGCAGCCUAAAAUAAGCAACGGCCCAAAUCAUCCCAAACCAAAUGAAAAACCAGCUGACAAUGUUCUGACGUUCUUUUAAAUGACUAAGACUGGAGUUAUUUCUUGUGCAGUAAAGUUAACAGAUAAACGAAUAAUUUGGAAGGAUUGAUCACAUUUAAAUAUUUGGAAUAUAAAAAAGCUAUUGUUUAUCAUGUUCUUUGCACUUCCAUCAUUUUAACUAAAAGGAAAACAUGUUAUUUAAACAUAAAAUAUGGCUAUAUAUUCAACUCUUGUAAUGUUUUCUAAAGUUUUUCUUAUUUAAAAACACCAAGUUGUAUUUUAAAAUGGAAAGCAUAUCUCCAGUUCAGAAAUCAUCAAAGUGGUUUAAAUACAGUUACUUGAGCUUUAGAUCAAAUGCACCCUUCUGAAUCUCUCCCUCAUAAGUGUAUGUAGAACCUAAACAUUGUUGUGGACAUUUGUCUUUUGGAGGAAAUAGUUCUUGUUUCAUGUCAGGAUUUCCUUAGGGAAAUGGACACAUUGAUGUGUCCAUCACCCAAAUAGUUUUUCAUUGUACCAGUUAGGUAGAUUUUCACCUGUCUCCUACUACCCGCUUCCUCCCUGCUUGAUUUCUGCUGAGUUUUACUUCCCUGUGUGCACAUAUGUGAUAAACAGUUUGUUCCAAUUUUAUAGUGUGUACAUGUGA